AUCGAAGAAGCUAAUUUUAAAGUGUCUGACUUUUAAUCAGAAGAUUGGGUGUUGUGAUUGUCAUCCCUUCGGUG
rnacentral:tRNA from 1 species